GACGAACGCUGGCGGCGUGCUUAACACAUGCAAGUCGAACGGAAAGGCCCUGCUUUUGUGGGGUGCUCGAGUGGCGAACGGGUGAGUAACACGUGAGUAACCUGCCCUUGACUUUGGGAUAACUUCAGGAAACUGGGGCUAAUACCGGAUAGGAGCUCCUGCUGCAUGGUGUGGGUUGGAAAGUUUCGGCGGUUGGGGAUGGACUCGCGGCUUAUCAGCUUGUUGGUGGGGUAGUGGCUUACCAAGGCUUUGACGGGUAGCCGGCAUGAGAGGGUGACCGGCGAAAUUGGGACUGAGAGACGGAACAGAAGGGAACGGGAGGCAGCAGUGGGGAAUAGUGCAAAAUGGGAGGAAGCGUGAUGCAGCAACGCAGCGUGCGGGAUGACGGCCUUCGGGUUGUAAACCGAUUUCGAAUGUGAAGAAGAGUGAGUGACGGUAAUGGGUAAAGAAGCACCGGCUAACUACGUG
rnacentral:rRNA from 1 species